CAAAUACUUUUUCAUGAGGAAGAGCGCGUAUCAGAGGGAGAAGAGGAGAACGGGAGAAAAGAGGGAAAUAAUAAUGACGGAGUCCAUAUAUAAGAUGUAUUCAAACUUUUUGGUAGCAGUGCAUCGUUACCGAACGCUAUCAUUACAUUACAUUCCCAAACAGGAAUAAUUCGCAUCAAGCAGGACAACUGCCAUGAUGGGUAUCAGAAAAUUCGUGAGAUGUCUCGUUUUCACGUUGGCAAUUGCGGUCGUGCUCGGUGCACCAAACCUAUCGGACACUCGAUCUUUGACUCACGGUCAUGAUUUAAUGCAUAAAGGGGAAGGAGGAAAUGUUGCUGGUACUAAAGAUGAGUCAACAAGCGAUGGAGAAAACU